GACAUUUCCAAACAAUAUGAAGUCCAUUAUUCCACAAUGAGAAAGAUUAUUAACAAAUGGAGAACAUUCAAGACAGUUACCAAUCUAUCCAAGAGUGGGCAUCCCAGAAAAUUCACCCCAAGAUCAGACCUGAAUGAAGCUCCAAGAAACUUGAACAUACAUCCAGGGAUGUACAGUCCUGUGUCAACGUGGUAAAUGUUCAUGACUUCUCCAUGAGGCAAUGACUGGACAAGUGUGGCUUUCAUGGAAGAGCAGCCAAAUGAAAACUCCUUAACUCCAAAAAGAACAUUGCAGAACGGCUUAAGUUUGGAAAUUUGCACCUGAAUGGACAACACCACAGCGAAAACUGAAAACGGCAUAUCAGCAAAACAUUGUGUCAACUGCCAAGCAUGGUGGUAGGAGGGUGUGUGGGGGGGGAUCAGGCAACAGGACAAUGAUCCUAAGUACACCAGCAAAGCUACAACUGAAUGGCUGACAAAGGAUUCAUUCAGGGUUUUGGAAUGGCCAAGUCAAAGUCCAGGCUUCAAUCCCAUUGAGGUGUUCAUGAGAGCUGUACCUAAACGGAUGCCCUCAAACAUCAAAGAGCUGAAGCAGUUUUGAAAGGAAGAAUUGGUCAGAAUCGCUCUAACGCAAUGCAAGAGACUGAUAAUCGAAUUCAGAAAAUGAUUACUUAUUAAGGUUAUUGCCGCUAAAGGGGAUUCUACAAGCUACUGACUCAGUGAGUGCUCUUCUCUUUUCACAUGAAGUUUCUGCACGAUGGCUUAUUUUUGGUUUAAAUAAAUAAUAAAAUAGUAAAAUGUGUUUGUCACAU